rnacentral:lncRNA from 1 species
CCGUUUUUAACAUACUCCGGAACGACAAAGAUAAGAACCAGUGCUCAUCAUUACCAGGGGUGUAUGAAAUCCCUGAUGGAAAGAUAUCGAGGUGGCUAGGCCAACAACAGCGUUAGCACAAAGAGCAAUGGUAUCAGACUUAACGGUAAAAUGGGAUGCUGCUAGACUGUUGAGAAAGGAGGAAGAUCCAUGGAAAGGAAAGGUCGCAGAAACAAUAACAUUUAUAAUAACAAGCGAUCGUCUGUCAAACCCAUUAAUAUACUUAACCCAGCCGAAAUCAGUAAUGCUUGGAAAUCUUGUGCCACACUACAAGAGGAUAAAGUUUAAAGGAACACUUAAUAGUUCUGGCUAUGUGUAUAUAUUAGUUUCUGUAUUAAUUUGAUAUUU